AGCUGCACCAGAUGACAGAAAGCCCUCCUUUGGCAGCAAACGGCCCUGAAAAAGUAAUUAGUUUUCCCAGAGUUAUUAGGAAAGGUUUCCUGAAUCAAUGAUUUUAUGAUUUGACAACACUCAGGAAAUUCAGUGUUCACUAAUCCCCUCCACAUCUCCCUUGACAAGUGCAGCUGCCCUGGGAUGGAUGCAGCCACCAUCCAAUCACCUCCCACAGGUACAGCAUGUGCUUGGCAACACCUGCAGUUACUCUCAAGGGUUCUGACUUGCAAGUGCACCUUAGCAGCAGCAUUGACAAGGGCCAUAUUUCAUUCCAUAUAUAUUUACUGGUUAACAGCUACAUUACAGCAGAGUACAUGUUGAAGGUGUGCGUACCAAUACUACAGAACUAACAGACCUGCCCGUUGUGGGACAUUCAGACUUACAGCAAACCUUCUGCAGUAUCAAGCAGGCCCUGUGCACUGACAGCUUUCAAACCUUGGAUGGGGUGCUCUUCAGGGUGGCAAGAGAACAACAGAAUGGCCUGCUGUCCUAUCAGACCCUGAUGCAAGUUUCAGGGCUUGUGAAGCUGGUUGGCAAAUAUCCCAAGGGACAAAUAGCAAGGGACUGCAUACAGCCACAUCUCAGUGAUUCAGUGGAAGAUAACUCCUCUCUGUUUUUCAAAAGCAUCUUUCUCAGCCCACAAGUGCUCAAUCAGGGAACCCUGUAGGGCACGGAGGACACAGACUUUGUGCAAUGAUGCUCCACCAACUGUUAGAGCGGGAUGUAUGCCUUGGUAAAUGAAAGGUUUUCAUCUGGUUUUCUCACUAGAAACCAACAGCAAAACGUGGAUAGCAAAGCAAAAAAGCUGAAGCAAACAAACCUCAGGAUUUGUUUCCUCUCUGUGUGUCUUCUAUUAGGUUAAUUAGUUUUAUCUGUCUACGCAGCAGAAGACUACAACACACCAGAGGAGCCAGGAUUGCUCAUUUCUGAAAACUCCACUCCUCAAUAGUGCUGCAUCCUGGCAGAGUGUCACAAAACAGGAAUGGGGAGAAACCAGUGAUUUUAAUGUAUCUGUGAAUGGUAAAUAGAGAAGAAAUUCAACAACUCUCAGUAUUUUGAGUCAGUGAUAACUCAGAUAAAAGAUAAAACUGAGAUUUUACUCUUGUUCUUUAAAAAUCAUCAAGAAUGUAUAAGAAUAAAAACUGAGAUACUGAAAGGAAUUUCAGCACAGAAGAACUAGAGGUCCCACAUGGCUGUUACUGAAGUACCCCCCAAACAUUAUCACCGCUGUCCAGACGACAACAUACUAACUCAAAAGUGCUGUGAUCAACAAUGAGCCACUUGGAAGCACAGGA